CAGCAAUUUCUUGAGGCAAUGUUUUUUGUCCUGUGUUAUUAGAGUUAGCUGUAUCAUCUGGCUGUUCAGUACUGCACAGAGACUCCACAAUCGGGACAUCAUCGGUGCAGGCGCGAACAUCUUCAGUGCCAGUGUUGCAGCAUACAGUUGACCAUGGAGCUAUUGACGCACCCCACGCCCAACAUGAAGUCACUUCGAACCCAAGUCACUUCGUACCAAAGUCACAACCGUUCCCUGGGCUAAUACUGCGCAAAUCGUUCAGUACCUGAAGAGUUUUUAAAGGAAGUGGACACUAAUGUGGAAAUACAUAAUGGCACUGUCUUUCAGGAGUUGGCUGCUGCCUACACAGAUGAUGAAAGCCUAACAACUUGGAACAUGUCUAGAAAUUCACUGCAGGCUAUCCAUGUAAAGGUUGUGAUAUCUAGGAACUCAAUGCUUCACUACGAACACUGUAGGUCAACAACUAUUGUCUUCAAAGGGUUAUCCUUGUGACAGAACAGUUACUGCUCCACUCCAACCAUGGCAAGUCACCCAUUUGUAUACUCACUGCUUCACUUCAACUAUUAUCUUCAAUGGGCUGGUUGUUUCUUUGACAGAGUUUGCUGCUGCCUGCACAGAUGAUGAAAGUCUAACAACUUGGAACAUGUCUAAAAACUCACUGCAGGCUAUCCAUGUGACUGUAAAGGUUGUGCUAUCUAGAAACUCAACGCUUCACUUUAACCACUGUAGUUCAUCCAUGUGACAGGGACCAUUAUCUUCAAUUGGCAAGUCUUAAAGUUUUUAUCCAAUGUCUACUAAAUUUGAACUUUACUUCGCCUCAUCAAACGAAACUUGUCCUGUUUACUGGGGUUAGAUAUCUCUAGUUUUUUUACCUUAUCAAGUCCUGGGACACUGGUAACUAAACAAAUGUUUUUGUAACCUUUAAAUUGUUCCCAGGCUGACUUUGUGUCAUUCAUGCAACAUUACCAAAGUUAGUGCCAUUCUUUUAGAAAGAUUGCAAAUCUAAUAACAG